GGCUUGGUCCUGACUUUACUAUAAACUUUAACCCGACUUAUACAUGCAAGUCUCCGCACCCCUGUGAGAAUGCCCUCAAUCCCCCGCCCGGGGACGAGGAGCCGGCAUCAGGCACACCACAAUAGCCCAAGACGCCUUGCUUAGCCACACCCCCAAGGGAAUUCAGCAGUGAUAAACAUUAAGCCAUAAGUGAAAGCUUGACUUAGUUAGGGUUAAGAGGGCCGGUAAAAUCCGUGCCAGCCACCGCGGUUAUACGAAAGACCCCAGUUUAUAAAUACGGCGUAAAGGGUGGUUAAGAAAAAAUUAAAAUAAAGCCAAAGAUCUUCUUAGCAGUCAUACGCUCCACGAAGACACGAAGCCCAAAUACGAAAGUUGCCUUAAUGAACUUUAUCUGACCCCACGAAAGCUGAAAAACAAACUGGGAUUAGAUACCCCACUAUGUUCAGCCAUAAACCUAGAUAUAAUAUUACAAAACUAUCCGCCAGGGGACUACAAGCACAGCUUAAAACCCAAAGGACUUGGCGGUGCCUCAGACCCACCUAGAGGAGCCUGUUCUAGAACCGAUAAUCCCCGUUAAACCUCACCACCCCUUGUUUUCCCCGCCUAUAUACCGCCGGUCGUCAGCUUACCCUGGUGAAGGGGCUAUAGUAAGCAAAAUGAGUUUACCCCAAAACGUCAGGUCAAGGUGUAGCGUAUGAGGUGGAAAGAAAUGGGCUACAUUUUCUACCACAGAAUACCACGAAUAGUGCCCUGAAAAAGCAUCUGAAGGAGGAUUUAGUAGUAAAAAGUAAACAGAGAGUACUUUUGAACUAGGCUCUGAGGCGCGCACACACCGCCCGUCACUCUCCCCUAUCACUAUUAACUAAUUAUCCCUAAUACUUAAGCAUAAACACGGGGAGGCAAGUCGUAACAUGGUAAGUGUACCGGAAGGUGCACUUGGAACAAUC
rnacentral:ncRNA from 1 species